UGAAACUGCGAACGGCUCAUUAAAUCAGUUAUCGUUUAUUUGAUAGUACCUUACUACUUGGAUACCCGUGGUAAUUCUAGAGCUAAUACAUGCUUAAAACCCCGACUCCGGGAGGGGUGUAUUUAUUAGAUAAAAAACCAAUGCCCUUCGGGGCUCCUUGGUGAAUCAUAAUAACUUUUCGAAUCGCAUGGCCUUGCGCCGGCGAUGGUUCAUUCAAAUUUCUGCCCUAUCAACUUUCGAUGGUAGGAUAGUGGCCUACCAUGGUGGCAACGGGUAACGGGGAAUUAGGGUUCGAUUCCGGAGAGGGAGCCUGAGAAACGGCUACCACAUCCAAGGAAGGCAGCAGGCGCGCAAAUUACUCAAUCCCGAUACGGGGAAGUAGUGACAAUAAAUAUCGAUCCGGGGCUCUUUUGGGUUUCGGAAUUGAAAUGAGAACAAUUUAAAUCCCUUAACGAGGAACAAUUGGAGGGCAAGUCUGGUGCCAGCAGCCGCGGUAAUUCCAGCUCCAAUAGCGUAUAUUAAAGUUGUUGCAGUUAAAAAGCUCGUAGUUGAACCUUGGGUCUGGCUGGCCGGUCCGCCUCACCGCGUGCACUGGUCCGGCCGGACCUUUCCUUCUGGGGAGCCUCAUGGCCUUCACUGGCCGUGGGGGGAACCAGGACUUUUACUGUGAAAAAAUUAGAGUGUUCAAAGCAGGCCUUUGCUCGGAUACAUUAGCAUGGAAUAAUAGAAUAGGACGUGCGGUUCUAUUUUGUUGGUUUCUAGGACCGCCGUAAUGAUUAAUAGGGAUGGUCGGGGGCGUCAGUAUUCAGCUGUCAGAGGUGAAAUUCUUGGAUUUGCUGAAGACUAACUAUUGCGAAAGCAUUCGCCAAGGAUGUUUUCAUUAAUCAGUGAACGAAAGUUAGGGGAUCGAAGACGAUCAGAUACCGUCGUAGUCUUAACCAUAAACUAUGCCGACUAGGGAUCGGACGGGGUUUUUUUGAUGACCCGUUCGGCACCUUACGAGAAAUCAAAGUUUUUGGGUUCUGGGGGGAGUAUGGUC
rnacentral:rRNA from 2 species